rnacentral:miRNA from 1 species
CUGGCACAUAGGAGCUUCAUAAA